rnacentral:tRNA from 1 species
GCCUGGGUGGUGGAAUUGGCAGACACAGGGGACUUAAAAUCCCCUGAUCGCAAGAUCGUGCGGGUUCGAGUCCCGCCCCGGGCA